GGUCCCUAUUGCUAGAUAAUCUCUGCUGACUUCCCAAGGAUGGUGCCAGAGCACCUCCAGGAGAUGUGAGGCUGUUAACUCACUGCUUCAACAAGCUCCAACUGGUCUCCAAGCAAAAGUGGCCAAAUCUCACAUUGAGAGAGAUGAAGAGGGAAUGGAUACCUAGACUUUCAAAGGUGACCGAACAAAUUCAGAUCAAAUCUGGUCACACGCAGGCCCCACCUGGGGCUCUCUGGUUGCUCAGGAGCGUAUGUGGACCACACGUUAUACACGAGGCAAUAGGCAUCAAUUAAAACAAACACAUGAAAUUCCAUCUCAUCACAAGAAAACACUUUUUAACUCUGAGGGUGGUCAAAAACUGGAGCAGAGUGCCCAGAGAGGUUGUGGAGUCUCCAUCCCUGCAGAAAUUCAAAACCCAGCUGGACAUAGACCUGGGCAACCUGCUCUAGUUAACCUGGCCUGAGCAGAGGGGAUGGACCAGAUGAUCUCACGAUCCUUUUCAACACCAUCCACUCUGUGAUUCUGUUUCUUGUUUCUUAUACCCAUCUCUGACAAUUUUACCGGUCACUUUGCAGCAAGCUGUGAAAUAAUAUCAAUAUUUAGCUCUUUCGCAGCAUUUUUCAUUGCUUGAUCUGCAAUGCCUCGAAUGAGGUUUGUAUUUCAUCAUUGCUUCUUAACAGCUAGGGGAACAGGGGCAGUCAGAAAACAAGUGAUUUGCUGAAAGCCAUUCAGGAAGACAGGGGCAGAGGGACCAAAUUUCCUGAGUGUCACCUCCCAUUCCCGGACCAGCGCUGCAACUGCAACGUCUGUGCAAGUGGUAUUUCGAGGGAGAUGGCUGGCGCAUCCAGCACCCAGUGACAGCAGAGGCCGAAGGCGCUGGAUGCAGCGCUCUAUCCACGGACGCAGCCCUUGGACUGUAAAUCACAGCAAAGGAGAAAUGCAUCAGUGCUUUGCCAGGGAGACAACGGCGCAGGCAGCUCUGCUCCGGUGAGCUCAGCUGAACCACAAACAAGCAAGCUGGUGCUUUAAUGAAGGUGUAUUCGCAACUGGUAAAAACAGUCUUUACCCACCAGUGCUUCAAACAACAGGUCUAGUUUCUGUAUAGCACAUGAUUUUUUUUUUUUUUUUCCAGUGCUCCUACUGCAAGUCUCAGAGUUGGCCAAGUUGCAAUGCAUAAGAACAGAAACAUUCUUUCUUAAUAGUAAUAUUAUUACCAGUCCUUAGAGAUUGAUGUUUCUAAUAUCAUAAAAAUUCCUUAACUAAAGCUCACAUUGCUGUGAUUUUGCAUCUCAAUGUAUUUUCAUCUAUUGACAACUACACCUUUAUGAAAAAAAUAAUGUUCUGAUUUUUCUCAUGAAUAUUGAAAAUCAGAGAGAAGAGCAGAUGUGUGUGCACGUCUACAGGCACGCAAGCACAGAGCCGCCACUUUAAGUACCCGCUUAAAUCCCAAAUCCUGACAAAUAGGAAUGAUCUGCUUGUUACUCUUUUGGCGAGCUGAAUAAAUACAUGGAGUGUGUUUGUACGGAAUAGAGGAAGCAAGCAAUGGCCAUUUAUGGAUGAUCAAUCACAGCCAUGUAUUCUUUAUUUCCUAUUUAUGGGUGGUACAGUGGGCUGAAUUUUAAUCAGCUCUCGCUAUGGUGGGUUUUCAUGUUUCUGCUUUCAGCAGUUAACACUUUAGAGAUUUCAGAAAACGAAAUGAGUAGAAUGGCUAUGGAUUGGGGUCACACUCCUGUUUUAGCAAUGCCUUUGCUUACUGCCUUCAGAGAAGGAACAAAAUAAUGUCUCAUGAGUGUGGGCUUCUUGGGAAGGCAACUUGGAAAUGGGUGCAGUUAAUGACAAGAUCAAGUAACAGUCAGUAGAACAAUGAGCCGAGUUCAACUAAAACCAGCUCUGAAGCCACAUUUCCACUGUCUCUACCUAACAGUUAUUAAAACUAAUGCAAAACAGGGAACAAAAUGCUACCACUGGCAUGCAGGGAACGGUCCUGUCUGGAGGCGCUUUGCAGCUGUUCCAGUGGGACAGUGGUAAGCACGUGGAGGCUCCAGUCUCGUGCCCCGCUCCGUCAGUGAUUCCUCCAACAGCAGGAACAUCUACAAAUGGACACGGGGGUUUAUCGUUGUCUGAAAUUGUUACUCAGUAGAUGAAGCUGGCUUUUUUUAACGGUCAGAACCGGGAGCUACCGCUGCCUGGAGGGGGAACGCCGCCCAACCUGGCCUCUGACUCUGGGACAGUUGUAGCUCAAAAGAUUGGCAGAGCAAGUGCUGUAAGAUUCUAGGCAGAGCUCAGCAAGGCUCAUUUAAGGAUUAUUGCAGGAAAGGCUCCUUCAUUCUUCCUUGUUUUUUAACUUAAAUAUGCAGUACGGCAGAACGCUCUUCGGCAGAGACACAAUCUUCAUCCCUUUGUUCAAGGAGUGAAGAAUAAUUAACAGAGCCCUUAACUCUUCUCCUUGGAUGCUGCUCAGUUUGACCUUUACAGUACUAAAGUGGUAUUAAGAUAAGAAUCAUGUACUGUAUCCUGACCUCAGUUACACCACGGUACAUCUGCAUUUGGAGUCAGACCACUAAAGUAAUUAGAAUUGACAGGGACUAAGACUGGUGCACGCGGUAUUUGGUAUUUCUGGCAUUUAUAUUCAAGGCAGUCGGGUGGGAUCCAUUACAUCACCCCACACCUGCCCUAUGCACGCCGCACACAAUGUGUUUAUUACGCAUGGCACUAAUCGCACAGCAGGCGAUUAAAAUGGAGAGCAUUUUAAAAGUCAAAUUGGCCUUUUACAUCACGUAACUUGGGAUGGGGGCCAGAUUGCUUUGGAUGAUUUAGAUACCUAACUCAAUCAAUGAGUAUGAGACAUCGAAAUGCCUUUGGAAAAAAACCUGCAGUCCCUAAUCUUUAAAUUUCAUCUUUAAUUUUGGAGUGAAAUUGGUGCUUAGAAAAUAUAGCUCAGGGAGGGCAGGGAAAGAAGAGCCCAGUGAGCAAAACUGAAAUCUCGCUGAGCCAGGGACUGUCGUCAGCCGAAGAGGAGACGGGAAAUUAGCACGCAGCUCAGGCCGGCUUGCUCGCAGGAAUACCUUGACAAAAUUGAUGCAGGGAAAUGACGCCAUCCAGCCCCUAAAAACUUACAGUCCUUUAAAAUGAGGGCCCUGGGUGACAGAUACUUUUCCAGGCAUUAAGACUCUGGGAGCCCAACUAAAGUACAAGAUCAAGAAAGUAAAUUUGAAGGAGUUACUUUAUUACAGAUAACGCUGCCUUUCCCAGAUAGCCACGCUUCAGUUAAACCCACCGAACCAAGUGCCACGUUGCAAUUCAGUCAGGAAAAGCAGCUUGCCCUAAGAUAUGAUACGGGACAAGCAAAAUUAAUAAUUUUGAGAUGUAUCAUCAUAGGAAGCAUGCGAGGAACUUUUUUUCUCCUUUUUAUUGGGACUCUUGAGAUUUUCCUGCUGGGCUACUAUUUAAAACUCAACGUUGUUCAUGCUGCUUGGAUCCAGUUUUCAUAGCCCAGCGUAAAAACAGACCUCAGAAGAGAAAGCAGCAUUAUAUUCUGCCAUACACAGCAGGUCAAGUGGAGAAGAGCCACUUCACCAAUAGGUGUUACUCAACGAUGGGAAGAAUUUAAGUGAUUUUCAUGAAGUGAGGAUUUAGCCCACAAAGGGGUUUGGGGACAUGGAGACUUUAGAGAUUUGGAGGCAAAAUGAUAGAGCUUGGCUUCCAAGUCAGCCUGAGACUGCAGAUAACCGCUCUGAAAUUACCCAUUGACUUCAGGUUACCCUUUGUGUUGGGAAGGGGACGCUUCGGCUGUCCCUUCUGGCGCUGGUGAAAGAUCUCAGUCUUCAGAGCUGACAAUAUUCCAGCACUGGAGGUGUGUGUAAGUUGUGACAAAUAAGGGGGGAUUUACAGAGCAAGAAGUGCUGUGCAAGUACAGUGAUGGAGGUAAUAGAGAGUUUCCUCCUGGAUGCACAAACGCUUUUGGGGUUUCUCAGUCUUACUUGCUAGCCCAGUUUGAGAAGAGAACAUUGCUUGUUUGGGCACGUACGUCUGAGUGUGCUGUCUGGUGUUAACAAAAGAUUUCUGUUGAUUCCUAAGCACAGCCAGUUUGUCUUCUGCUACACCUAGAAAGUGCGAACAGCAUGGAAAUGAAGAUCUGCUCCUCGUGGGUAAUAAUUUGGCUUUUAUGUAACAUGCUGUAAUGAAGAUUAUUAAAGCUGCCUUCACAAUUUCCAAGUCCAAUUCUUUUUUAUUGUAUUAGGAAUUAAACUUUCAGAUCCCAUGUGUGGCUUUGAAAAAUCUCAGUUUGUAGUUCAGAAACACCACAGAGAUUUGUAACAACUUACUCCUUGCCAUAGUCUUUGUCCACAAACAGACACAGAUCGAUGGAGUGGGACUCAAAUGACGGAUGCAGGCCAACGACCAACACUUUGUACCUUCCAAGCCCUGGGACCACAACACAAUGUCUGUGGGAGCCGCAGCAGAGGAUCCAGCUGGCAGAACAUGCACAGGCCAGUCUUGCCGCAUGAAAGCUUCAUCCAGUCGCUCUUGUUACCCCGUGGCUUCCAGGCAAUACCAUGUUAGAGCAGUGAUUUGAUCUUCAAGGGUUGGACCAUGCAAGAUGCAAAGCAAGCCAGCACAAUUCCUCUUCAACACUGAGGCAAGUGAAUAUUAAAUUCAGUUUCUAUGUAGGUCAACGUUCAAAGAUACAAAAACUAGUGAAGAAUGGACUAAGAUUUGAGCUAGAGUCCAAGCCAACAGGUCAAUGAAGAAAUAGUUCAAGAUGGCAGCAUCAUUCAAUCACUUGUGCCCAAGUGUCAGCUGAAAGGCAGUCAGAGAAGGAUUGUGCCUUCAGUCUGCUGGGUGUCGUCCUCCAUCAGGCCUUUGCAAGUCAUGCCAGAAUGUCUGGAGUUAUCCUCCCACUGCCGCGGGGGUUCACUACCCCUACUGAACUGGCCACAGCGCCCGGAGAAAGAAAUAACACUAACGCCUCCAGAAGCCACCUGACACAGCAGCAUCGGGCUUGGUGAGGGGUUUUACAAACUGCUUUAUCAUUUCUGGGGAGCAGAAGGACCAGACAGAGCUCGGACUGCACCCCGACGGGACGCCCAGCACUCGCCGUUAGGGGAACACCUCGCCUUGCGAUGAAGUUGAUCAGGAAAUAAUUGGAAGGAAUAAAUCUGGAACCGUCCAGUGCCAGCUUCGUUCUGGGCUCUAACGACACAAUCCAAACCUUUGAAUUUGGGGAGGGAGAGCGUUACCGACGCAACACGUUAAACAACCUUAACACCAGUGAGCAAUGGCACCACUCUAACACUUGUUUAUUAGCAAAAUGCAUCUGAUCUCAAAGGCCUGCAUGACAAGUUCAUUACAUAUCAAUUUAAUUAGCUGAUUUACAUUUAAUUUACAUUUCAAUUAAUGUCUUUAGCAACAAAACGUUGUCUUAAUAGGGUAAUUGCCUGUUAGGCAAUAUGUAAAAGAAUAAAUAGUCACAUUCUGAGGAAGAAUUCCUAUUUUCAAUUUUUUAUUACCAUAAAUAACCUAAAUAAUUAUUGCUCUUAAGGGGCCAUGUCCCAGUUCCCUUCUGGGCCUAAUUAUAAAGACUUAGUACCUCAUUAAGCAAAAUGGUUUCGGAGUCAAAGAAAAGCAUUACUCUAAUCGUGACUCAUUAGUUUCAACAAAAGAGGGGAAAACCGCAAAAGUCUGCACAUUUCACCGUAUUAUUCUUGCAGUUCAUAAGCAGCGGCACAUUUGAGAAGGGGCUGUUACAGCUGCGUAGGCGUUUCUGUCACGAAGCCCUAUUUUCAGAGGAGUUUUUUCGUGUAACUUUGGUCAUUAAGAGAGAGUAACGUCUGACUGGAAAAGCUGGCACGCGCACCCCUGGCACGGAGCAAGAAGCUUGAGCAAACUUUUGGGUUUCUGCUCCCCGAGACCUCAACUCUUCCCCACGCAACCACACGCGUGGUGGCUUGGUUUGAGGCUGUUCUGUAAACAGACGUGUCCUUUAGGAUUUGUUUGAAUUCAGUGAUGCUCUAUCACAGGGCUGCUUCAUUGUAACUAGAGACCAAAAAUUGACUGCGGGCUCAGGUGUGACCAGACCACGACUUUAAGGCUCGUAGCAUUGGCUCCAAACCACCGUGGCAACGUGAUGUAAAACACUGAUGUCAUAUAUGCUCACUUUGGUUUAAAUUUGUUCAAACAAAAGGCAGAAAGGUUGGCAGGGUGCUGGCGGGUUUUAUGCUACAUUAGGCAUCGACCCUCUGUGCUAGGCUAACGUCAGACUGGGUCAGCAUCGUCUGUCCUUCAGCAGGCAGCGCAAAGCCAGUGUUAAGCUGGCACAAGCUCCGUGGCAGGAGCUCGGGCUGAGCUGAUGUACGUGUCCGCGCUUUGUUUGGAUGAAGUUUGUUCUGCUGGCGAUCCGGUGGUGCAGAGAUCCAGAACCGAUGACUGGAACUAAGGCAUUGAUUGCAUUUGCUUAAAAUGAUGUCAUGUAAGCAAAUUAAAAAAGGGACUUUUUGUUUUUGUUUAGCAAAUAAUAAAUUCAUAAU